rnacentral:rRNA from 1 species
AAUCAACGCUGGCGGCGUGCCUCAGACAUGCAAGUCGAACGAUUAAGACUUCCUUCGGGAAGUGUAUAAAGUGGCGCACGGGUGAGUAACACGUAAGUAAUCUACCUUCGAGUGGGGAAUAACAUCGGGAAACCGAUGCUAAUACCGCAUAAUGCAGCGGCAUCGCAAGAUGACAGUUGUUAAAGGAGCAAUUCGCUUGAAGAGGAGCUUGCGGCAGAUUAGCUAGUUGGUAAGGUAAUGGCUUACCAAGGCUACGAUCUGUAUCCGGUCUAAGAGGACGGUCGGACACACUGACACUGAAUAGCGGGUCAGACUCCUACGGGAGGAAGGACUCGGGAAUUUUGAGCAAUGGGCGAAAGCCUGACCCAGCAACGCCGCGUGAGGGAUGAAGUAUAUCGGUAUGUAAACCUCGAAAGAAUGGGAAGAAUAGAUGACGGUACCAUUUAUAAGCUCCGGCUAACUACGUGCCAGCAGCCGCAGUAAAAC